rnacentral:rRNA from 1 species
UACGAAGGGGGCUAGCGUUGCUCGGAAUCACUGGGCGUAAAGCGCACGUAGGCGGACUCUUAAGUCGGGGGUGAAAUCCUGGAGCUCAACUCCAGAACUGCCUUCGAUACUGGGAGUCUUGAGUUCGGGAGAGGUGAGUGGAACUGCGAGUGUAGAGGUGAAAUUCGUAGAUAUUCGCAAGAACACCAGUGGCGAAGGCGGCUCACUGGCCCGAUACUGACGCUGAGGUGCGAAAGCGUGGGGAGCAAACGGG